UAAUACAGAGGUCCCAAGCGUUGUUCGGAUUCACUGGGCGUAAAGGGUGCGUAGGCGGUCGGGUAAGUCUGGCGUGAAAUCUCCGAGCCUAACUCGGAAACUGCGCUGGAUACUAUCCGGCUUGAGGAAUGGAGGGGAGACUGGAAUACUUGGUGUAGCAGUGAAAUGCGUAGAUAUCAAGUGGAACACCAGUGGCGAAGGCGAGUCUCUGGACAUUUCCUGACGCUGAGGCACGAAAGCCAGGGGAGCAAACGGG
rnacentral:rRNA from 1 species